ACGCUCGACACCUACGGGAGGCAGCAGUGGGGAAUUUUCCGCAAUGGGCGAAAGCCUGACGGAGCAAUGCCGCGUGAAGGUAGAAGGCCUACGGGUCAUGAACUUCUUUUCCCGGAGAAGAAGCAAUGACGGUAUCCGGGGAAUAAGCAUCGGCUAACUCUGUGCCAGCAGCCGGGUAAUCUGAGCGGGCUGGCAAGGC
rnacentral:rRNA from 1 species